GGAUGUGAGGGUGAUUUGGCUGCAACAUGUUACCCCAUUGAUCACCAGGGUUAAUUAUUUGGCUGAUCUGGAUGGCUAGGCGGGUGUCCCCUCCCUCCCUCACCACUCUAUGUGUGUCCCUCCCGAUGCUGUGCACUUGGUGGAAGAGGACGGCCUUCCCCGAAUAGAGACGGACCGGUCUUCGGUGGAGGGUAUAUGAGUCGGUGCACUACCCUGCUAGAACCUCCAAACAAGCUCUCAAGGUCCAAUAUUUGGAUAGGACAGGAAGAAAUUGAGAGAGGUGAAGACAGAGAGGGGGAGAGAAAGACAGACACUUGCAGAUCUGCUUCAGCACUUGCAAAGCGACUCUUCCCC
rnacentral:snRNA from 1 species